AAUCCCAAGUCAAAGAAUGUCGAAAUUCAUUUGCUUCCUCGCAAUUCUGUGCGUUGCUUUGUUUGAAGUUGCAUUAGCCGCAGGCAGAUGUCCAAUCGACACAUCGCUGAAAAUCGAGCAAGCCCAAACGGGGCGGUCGAUAAAGUCAAAACCCGAGUGGAAAGUGAAGAUCAGCAACAACUGCGCAUGCACGUUGAGUAGCUUGAAAUUCUUGUGCCCUAAAUUUCUGGCCACAGUGGAGGUCAACCCCCCCAUCGUUUCGAUUGACGCAGAUGCUCACUGUCUCGUCACUACAGUGAAUCCUCUCGCUCC
rnacentral:lncRNA from 1 species